CCUACGCGAGGCAGCAGUGAGGAAUAUUGGUCAAUGGGCGUAAGCCUGAACCAGCCAAGUCGCGUGAGGGAUGAAGGUUCUAUGGAUCGUAAACCUCUUUUAUCAGGGAAUAAAGUGUGGGACGUGUCCUCUUUUGUAUGUACCUUAUGAAUAAGGAUCGGCUAACUCCGUCCCAGCAGCCGCGGUAAUCCGGGGGAUCCGAGCGUUAUCCGGAUUUAUUGGGUUUAAAGGGUGCGUAGGCGGGCUUUUAAUUCAGCGUUGAAAAUCUGUGGCUCAACCAUAGACUUGCCGUUGAAACUGGGGGGCUUGAGUAUGUUUGAGGCAGGCGGAAUGCGUGGUGUAGCGGUGAAAUGCUUAGAUAUCACGCAGAACCCCGAUUGCGAAGGCAGCCUGCCAAGCCAUGACUGACGCUGAUGCACGAAAGCGUGGGGAUCAAACAGGAUUAGAUACCCCAGUAGUC
rnacentral:rRNA from 1 species